rnacentral:rRNA from 1 species
CCUACGGUAGGCAGCAGUGAGGAAUAUUGGUCAAUGGGCGAGAGCCUGAACCAGCCAAGCCGCGUGAAGGAUGACGGCCCUACGGGUUGUAAACUUCUUUUGUCAGGGAGCAAUUGAGUCCACGUGUCGCCGUAGCGAGAGUACCUGAAGAAAAAGCAUCGGCUAACUCCGUGCCAGCAGCCGCGGUAAUACGGAGGAUGCGAGCGUUAUCCGGAUUUAUUGGGUUUAAAGGGUGCGUAGGCGGAAUAUCAAGUCAGCGGUAAAAAUUCGGGGCUCAACCCCGUCGUGCCGUUGAAACUGAUGGUCUGGAGUGGGCGAGAAGUAUGCGGAAUGCGUGGUGUAGCGGUGAAAUGCAUAGAUAUCGCGCAGAACUCCGAUUGCGAAGGCAGCAUGCCGGCGCCAAACUGACGCUGAGGCACGAAAGCGUGGGUAUCGAACAGGAUUAGAUACCCCUGUAGUC